ACGCACGCUGGCGGCAUGCCUAACACAUGCAAGUCGAACGAGACCUUCGGGUCUAGUGGCGCACGGGUGCGUAACGCGUGGGAACCUGCCCUUAGGUUCGGAAUAACUCCCCGCAAGGGGUGCUAAUACCGGAUAAUGUCUUCGGACCAAAGAUUUAUCGCCUUUGGAUGGGCCCGCGUUGGAUUAGCUAGUUGGUAGGGUAAAAGCCUACCAAGGCGACGAUCCAUAGCUGGUCUGAGAGGAUGAUCAGCCACACUGGGACUGAGACACGGCCCAGACUCCUACGGGAGGCAGCAGUGGGGAAUAUUGGACAAUGGGCGAAAGCCUGAUCCAGCAAUGCCGCGUGAGUGAUGAAGGCCUUAGGGUUGUAAAGCUCUUUUACCCGGGAUGAUAAUGACAGUACCGGGAGAAUAAGCUCCGGCUAACUCCGUG
rnacentral:rRNA from 1 species